rnacentral:misc_RNA from 1 species
UCCAGCUCGUCGCUGGCAGUCUCCGUCGAGUUCCCGACACCCUUGCGGGCUCGCUGGCAACAACGGACAGGGGUUGCGCUCGUUUUGGGACUUAACCCAACACCUCACGGCACGAGCUGACGACAGCCAUGCAGCACCUGUGCAAGCUCUCGACUGGAUACGAGUGGGUUCCCUUUCAGGUUCCUACUUCAAGCAUGUCAAGCCUGGGUAAGGUUCUUCGCGUAGCAUCGAAUUGAACCACAUGUUCCACCGCUUGUGCUGGCCCCCGCCAAUUCCUUUGAGUUUCAACCUUGCGGCCGUAGUCCCCAGGUGGGUCACUUAACGGGUUACCUGCGGCACUGACUCCCAACGGAGCCAUCACCUAGUGACCAUAGUUUACAGCUAGGACUAC